rnacentral:rRNA from 1 species
GACGAACGCUGGCGGCGUGGAUUAGGCAUGCAAGUCGAACGGUAUCAUCCUUUCGGGGGUGAGAGAGUGGCGAACUGGUGAGUAACACGUAGGUUAUCUACCCUCAAGACGGGGACAACCCAGGGAAACUUGGGCUAAUACCGGAUGUGAGCAACUUUUAGUUGUUUGAAAGGUGGCGUAAGCUGUCGCUUGGGGAUGAGCCUGCGUCCUAUUAGUUAGUUGGUGAGGUAACGGCUCACCUAGGCAAUGAUAGGUAGGCGGCCUUAACGGGUGGUCGCCCACACUGGGAUUGAGAUACGGCCCAGACUCCUACGGGAGGCAGCAGUCGAGAAUAGUCUACAAUGGUCGGAAGACUGAUAGUGCGACGCCGCGUGAACGAUGAAUCCCUUCGGGGUGUAAAGUUCUUUUAUAUGUGAGCAGUGCUUUCUUAUAUUAACAGUAUGGGGAGAGAGAUAUUAGCAUAUGAAUAAGCAACGGCUAACUCCGUGCCAGCCAGCCGCGGUAAAA